rnacentral:rRNA from 1 species
GUACACGCUGUGACUAGCAUAUCAAUAAGCGGAGGAAAAGAAACUAACAAGGAUUCCCCUAGUAACGGCGAGUGAAGCGGGAAGAGCUCAAAUUUGAAAUCUUAAGGGUUUCCCUUUACGAAUUGUAGUUUAAAGAAGUGUUUUCUGUUGAGGUUUUGGUAAAAGUUCUUUGGAAUAGGACAUCAUAGAGGGUGAGAGUCCCGUAUUUGACCUUUACUUUCAACUUUGUGAUACACUUUCAAAGAGUCGGAUUGUUUGGGAAUGCAGUCCAAAAUGGGUGGUAAAUUUCAUCUAAAGCUAAAUAUUGGCGAGAGACCGAUAGCGAACAAGUACCGUGAGGGAAAGAUGAAAAGAACUUUGAAAAGAGAGUUAAACAGUACGUGAAAUUGUCAAAAGGGAAGCGUUUGACACCAGUGUUGUUUUUCUGAAAAUCAAUUAAAGAACUGUUUAUGCUAAGCUGUUUAGACUUUAUCAGCUAUCUGUUUAGUUUUGAGCUUUUCUUUAAUGCACUUUUCAGUUAACAAGUCAACAUCAAUUUCUUUUGCUGUAAAAAAGCUUGAGGAAGGUGGCUUGAGAUUCGUCUUAAGUGUUUAUAGCCUCUUGCCUAUGCAGUCGGAGAGAUUGAGGUCUGCAGCGUAGAUCCUUCGGGGCUAAAUGCAUUUGCGCUAAGUUAUAGCAUUUUAUAGACAACUUGUUGACUAUGAUUUGUCUUGUAGCUUACUCGCUUAUGUUAUUUUACCUACGCUUAGGAUGUUGAUAUCGCGCUCUCACUG